GAUGAACGCUAGCGGGAGGCCUAACACAUGCAAGCCGAGCGGUAGAGAUUCUUCGGAAUCUUGAGAGCGGCGUACGGGUGCGGAACACGUGUGCAACCUACCUUUAUCUGGAGGAUAGCCUUUCGAAAGGAAGAUUAAAUACUCCAUAAUAUAUUGAUUGGCAUCAAUUGAUAUUGAAAGCUCCGGCGGAUAGAGAUGGGCACGCGCAAGAUUAGUUAGUUGGUGAGGUAACGGCUCACCAAGACGAUGAUCUUUAGGGGCCUGAGAGGGUGAUCCCCCACACUGGUACUGAGACACGGACCAGACUCCUACGGGAGGCAGCAGUGAGGAAUAUUGGUCAAUGGGUGCAAGCCUGAACCAGCCAUCCCGCGUGAAGGACGACUGCCCU
rnacentral:rRNA from 1 species